rnacentral:tRNA from 1 species
AAAGGAUUAGUUAAACCAUAAUAUAAGAUUGUCAGUCUUACGUCACUAACUCCGCCUUAGUAUCUUUUA